rnacentral:rRNA from 1 species
UACGGGGGGGGCAAGCGUUGUUCGGAAUUACUGGGCGUAAAGGGUUUGUAGGUGGCUUGCUAAGUCAGACGUGAAAUCCCUCAGCUUAACUGGGGAACUGCGUCUGAGACUGGCGAGCUUGAGUGCAGGAGAGGAACGCGGAAUUCCAGGUGUAGCGGUGAGAUGCGUAGAUAUCUGGAGGAACACCGGUGGCGAAGGCGGCGUGCUGGACUGCAACUGACACUGAGAAACGAAAGCGUGGGGAGCGAACAGG